rnacentral:misc_RNA from 1 species
CUGGGCUGGUGUCCUUAUUACUGCUUCUGAUUGCUUUCUUCUUUUGGUUCUUGAGAACUAUGGUAUAAGGAAGUUGGAAGCUGUGUUUGCUGUUCUUAUUUCGACUAUGGCACUGUCCUUUGCUUGGAUGUUUGGAGAUGCCAAACCAAAUGGGAAGGAGCUUUUAGCAGGUCUCUUGAUUCCAAAACUCAGUUCAAGGACAGUUCGG